rnacentral:lncRNA from 1 species
UAUUAAGAAGAAAUAGAAUUCCACUUCAAUUGUAGGUUUUGGAGGGACCCGACUAGCUCAAAACUUAUGCAGAAGAUAUAGGAUUAUACAAAAUAUGUGAAAAGCUUUAUGCAUGCUUCUAGCAUGGUAUCAUGCGAAGGUGCACUAUACCAUCUACUUGAUCAACUCAUGGUUGACUUUACAAUUACGCUUAAACUCCUUAUAUUCUUAAGGGCAAUAGACCCUUGAAUGUCUUCUAGAAAUGGAGUGGUGGCUCCAAUUAGAGAGAAAGGAAGAUGGUGAGUUACAUCUGGCAUACGUAGACCAUGUUAAGAAGAUGGAUAAAAGAUAAACUAAAAAAAAAGUGGACUGUUGAACCAAUCAUGAUAAGAUAGGUUUCAUAGGUUAAAAAACUUUUAGUUUGGAUGGCCAUGGUCACACCAACUAAAUCUAAUGACAAUAAAUACUUAAUAACAAAAGUUUAUUGGCACUUUUAUGGUGUGGAUUAACAAUCCAAGUUUGUGCAGCCUACUGCCAAACUUGGUUCAACUUAUUUGCACCUAUAAAUGUUAGCUUUCCAUGAACUAUAAUUAGUCCUUCCCUAUUUUCAAUUGAGAGCUAGACAACAUAUUGAACUUUAAAUUUUUGGCAAAAGAUUUAAUAACUUCUAUAUCAAUAUGGAGUAUCCAAAUCUCUAUAACUUUUUUUUGGUACUAUCCAAAUCUCUAUAAUUGAUGCUUCACGUGGAUGCAGAAUGGAUGGUAUCGAUUUUGCUAUUGUGCUAAAAAAUAUAUGAUAGUAUAUUUAAUUGGAAGUUAAUAUAUUGAUCAUAAUUUGACAAUAUAUGUUGCCCAACUAUGCAGCCCAAGAGGAGGGUGAAUUGGGCUUUUCAAAAACUUAAGUGUAUUGCAGUGGAAUUAAAAGCUCAAUAGAUAAAUAUAAAUUUUAGCAGCAAACUAAUAAGUUAAUAUGCUAAAGAUAAAUGCAAACAGAUCAAGCAAUGCAAACACACAAAGUUUAUAGUAGUUCGGUGUCAUCCCUACACCUACGUCCACUUUCUAAGACUUUCUUCUUAAAAAUUUUACUACGAGAUUACAGUCCGAUUGUUUUACACAGACUCACAAUCAACUCAGUUGAUUUUUUCAGACAAUCAACCAAAAUCUACACCGAUUAUUUUACUUGGGCUUACAAUCAACGCAGUUGAUUCUUUCAGGCAAUCAACCAAAACUUACACAAUCUAAUUUAAGAUUUGGAUAGACCUUUCUUCCAAGUUUUAGUUCCUAAAACUUGUUAUAACAAAGUAUAAAAUGAAUAGAGUUAAAGAACAAUAAAGAACAACUCCUAAACU